rnacentral:lncRNA from 1 species
CAGUGAGAAUCCUCUUUUUCCUGUGUUGGCUAAUUGGGAAGGUGAUGCUCCAUUCGUGCAAUCAGAGACGUCUCUGGAUGUAAGAAGGUAACUUUAAGCAAUUUAGAAUCUUGAGAUAUGCACUUUUAGUAUGAUGAUGUUGGGAAUAUUUGAUAAGCAAAUUAGUGUAUUUCUAGGGAUGGAAGCUGAUGGGAAAAACCAAUUAGCAUAAAGUUAUGAUUUGAAACUAGCAGGCCGGAUGUGGAGCGGACGUCCGCACUCCGGCUUAAAAUGCGGACCUCGUCUGUUUUCCGCCGUCUCACGCCGGCGAUGGCUUCUCUCCUUCCCGGACGACAGCACAGGCUUCCAGGACGGCUUCUCUCCUUCCAGGACUGACCGACGACAAGUUUUCCGGCCAACCUUGAUCAAUCAUGGUGUUUUCCGUCCAGAGCUUCAAUCCGGCCGGAAAACUUGUCGCCGGCCAGUCCUGGAAGGAGAGAAACCGUCCUGGAAGCCUAUGCUGUCGUCCGGGAAUGAGAGAAAUCGUCGCCGGCGUGAGACGACGGAGAACGGACGAAGUCCGCACUUUAAGCCGAGUGCGGACGGUCCGCUUCUCAUCCUCUCUGUUGAAACCAGUAUCCAUGAUUUGGUCCAAUAUAUAGCUAUUAGCUCUGCUCGUUUAGUCAUUUCUUUGAUGACAUGAGUGGUCUUCCUUUUUCCUUUUUCUGUUUUGGAUAGAACGCUAUACUAAGAGCAAGUCCACCCUUACCCCAAAAGCAAGACCCAGGCCUUCGCCAUGUUAAACGAAGACCCGGCCAAAAAAACCCUCCCUCCACCCUUGAAAAUUCUUUAACCCAGGCAUUCGCUGGGUCUUCGCCUGGGUCAGACCUAUGACCAGGCCUCCAUUUUGAAGACCCAGGCCUUCCUCUGCCAGCUCAGCCCGAGUCGUCGGGCCAUGGCGUCGUCAACCACGUGAAGCACGCAAGGGGGCCGAGCGACGCCUGAACCAGUCAGUGGAGGCAAUGCCAGAACCAUGGCUUGCCGAAAAACUUAACAUCAAAACAAUCCAUAAACACAGAAAUAGGAUUAUUGAAAUUACCUUACAAAUCGGAUUAGGAUCCUCUCCUUGGCUCUUAUUGAAAACACAGAAGAUUUGUUGAGGGCCGGAUUACCAUUGGAAGCAAAAUUGGUCACCGGAAAUGCCAAAAACUCGCCGGACAGUGACAUCUUCUUCUCUGUCGAUCUCCUUUGUUAAGGGUUGCAUGUGGUUAUUGAUUGAGGGGUUUUGAAGAGGGAGAGGAAAUGAAUGUUUUGGUGGAGUUUGGUGGAGUGUAGUGGCCGGAAACGACCGGAAUCGACCGGAGAAGAAGGUGGCAGACGUGAGAGAGAG